rnacentral:rRNA from 1 species
UACAGAGGUCUCAAGCGUUGUUCGGAUUCAUUGGGCGUAAAGGGUGCGUAGGUGGCGCCAUAAGUCAGGUGUGAAAUCUCGGGGCUUAACUCCGAAACUGCAUUUGAUACUGUGGUGCUUGAGGACUGGAGAGGAGACUGGAAUUCACGGUGUAGCAGUGAAAUGCGUAGAUAUCGUGAGGAAGACCAGUGGCGAAGGCGGGUCUCUGGACAGUUCCUGACGCUGAGACGCGAAAGCGUGGGGAGCGAACAGG